rnacentral:rRNA from 1 species
UACGGGAGGGCAGCAGUGGGGAAUAUUGCACAAUGGGCGCAAGCCUGAUGCAGCCAUGCCGCGUGUAUGAAGAAGGCCUUCGGGUUGUAAAGUACUUUCAGUCGUGAGGAAGGUGUUAAGGUUAAUAACCUUAGCAAUUGACGUUAGCGACAGAAGAAGCACCGGCUAACUCCGUGCCAGCAGCCGCGGUAAUACGGAGGGUGCGAGCGUUAAUCGGAAUUACUGGGCGUAAAGGGCACGCAGGCGGUUAAUUAAGUUGGAUGUGAAAUCCCCGGGCUUAACCUGGGAAUGGCAUUCAAGACUGGUUAGCUAGAGUCUUGUAGAGGGGGUAGAAUUCCGAUGUGUAGCGGUGAAAUGCGUAGAGAUGUGGAGGAAUACCGGUGGCGAAGGCGGCCCCUGGACAAGACUGACGCUCAUGUGCGAAAGCGUGGGGAGCAAACGAGGAUUAGAUACC